rnacentral:rRNA from 1 species
UCCGAUCUGAACUCAGACGUGGUUACCCGCUGAACUUAAGCAUAUCAGUAAGCGGAGGAAAAGAAACUAACAAGGAUUCCCUUAGUAACGGCGAGUGAAA